rnacentral:rRNA from 1 species
GGCUGUGAUCUUAUCCCAUUUUGUAAACUAAGAAAAUUCAGAUCUAGUCAGUACUUGGAUGGUAGACCUUCAGGGGGAAAAAAGGUACUACAGGAA